rnacentral:rRNA from 1 species
ACGGGUGAGUAACGCGUGGGAAUCUACCUAGUUCUACGGAACAACAGAGGGAAACUUCUGCUAAUACCGUAUACGCCCUACGGGGGAAAGAUUUAUCGGAAUUAGAUGAGCCCGCGUAAGAUUAGCUAGUUGGUGGGGUAAUGGCCUACCAAGGCGACGAUCUUUAGCUGGUCUGAGAGGAUGAUCAGCCACACUGGGACUGAGACACGGCCCAGACUCCUACGGGAGGCAGCAGUGGGGAAUAUUGGACAAUGGGCGCAAGCCUGAUCCAGCCAUGCCGCGUGAGUGAUGAAGGCCUUAGGGUUGUAAAGCUCUUUCAGUGGGGAAGAUAAUGACGGUACCCACAGAAGAAGCCCCGGCUAACUUCGUGCCAGCAGCCGCGGUAAUACGAAGGGGGCUAGCGUUGUUCGGAUUUACUGGGCGUAAAGCGCACGUAGGCGGAUUGGUCAGUUAGAGGUGAAAUCCCGAAGCUCAACUUCGGAACUGCCUUUAAUACUGCCAAUCUAGAGUCCGGAAGAGGUGAGUGGAAACUCCUAGUGUAGAGGUGGAAUUCGUAGA